rnacentral:rRNA from 1 species
GAAUAUUGGACAAUGGGCGAAAGCCUGAUCCAGCCACGCCGCGUGUGUGAAGAAGGUCUUCGGAUUGUAAAGCACUUUAAGUUGGGAGGAAGGGCAGGAAGCGAAUACCUUGCUGUUUUGACGUUACCGUUACAAUAAGCACCGGCUAACUUUGUGCCAGCAGCCACGGUAAGAAAGAGGGUGCACGCGAUAAUCGGAAUUACUGGGCGUAAAGCACGCGUAGGUGGUUCGUUAAGUUGGAUGUGAAAUCCCCGGGCUCAACCUAGGAACUGCAUCCAAAACUGGCGAGCUAGAGUAGGGCAGAGGGUGGUGGAAUUUCCUGUGUAGCGGUGAAAUGCGUAGAUAUAGGAAGGAACACCAGUGGCGAGGGCGACCACCUGGGCUCAUACUGACACUGAGGUGCGAAAGCGUGGGGAGCAAACA